AUGAUCGGAUGGCCAGUACCAUUUUUGAGUUUGAAUAAGAAAUCAGGGCACUGAUCAACGGCCCAGAUGUGAUCCAUCAUGAGAUCCGACGGCUGAGGAUGUUUUUCGACUGAGAAUAAGAGAGAAAUUGCAUGAUCCAACAACCAGAAACCAAUCAGAGGCAUGAUCGGAUGGCUGUGGCUGAAUCCGAUGUUGAUAAGGAUUAAAGCACU
rnacentral:lncRNA from 1 species